ACAAAGAAUCAACAUCAGCAGCAGAUUAAAUAUAUAGUCAGAAUGCAGUUUCCAAGAAGGCAAGUGAAAGAAUUUAAGAUGAUUUUUAAGCCAGUGUUGAAAUGUUUCCAAACUCUGGGUGUGCAGGCUUCCAACUACUUUACAACAGGGAUGGACAAUUAAUUUUCCCAAGGAGCCACGUGAGAAACUGGGACUGUUG